rnacentral:rRNA from 1 species
GACGUAGGGCGCGAGCGUUGUCCGGAAUUAUUGGGCGUAAAGAGCUCGUAGGCGGCUUGUUGCGUCGGCUGUGAAAACCCGCGGCUCAACCGUGGGCUUGCAGCCGAUACGGGCAGGCUAGAGUUCGGUAGGGGAGACUGGAAUUCCUGGUGUAGCGGUGAAAUGCGCAGAUAUCAGGAGGAACACCGGUGGCGAAGGCGGCAUCCUGGACCGACACUGACGCUGAGGAGCGAAAGCCAGGGGAGCAAACGGG